AUUGAACGCUGGCGGCAUGCCUAACACAUGCAAGUCGAACGGUAACGCGGGGGCAACCCUGGCGACGAGUGGCGGACGGGUGAGUAAUACAUCGGAACGUGCCCAGUAGUGGGGGAUAGCCCGGCGAAAGCCGGAUUAAUACCGCAUACGACCUACGGGUGAAAGCGGGGGAUCGCAAGACCUCGCGCUAUUGGAGCGGCCGAUGUCAGAUUAGCUAGUUGGUGGGGUAAAAGCCUACCAAGGCGACGAUCUGUAGCUGGUCUGAGAGGACGACCAGCCACACUGGGACUGAGACACGGCCCAGACUCCUACGGAGGCAGCAGUGGGAAUUUUGGGACAAUGGGGGCAACCCUGAUCCAGCCAUGCCGCGUGCGGGAAGAAGGCCUUCGGGUUGUUAAACC
rnacentral:rRNA from 1 species